rnacentral:rRNA from 1 species
AAGAUUGGACAAUGGGGGGAACCCUGAUCCAGCCAGGCCGCGCGUGUGAAGAAGGUCUUCGGUUUGUAAAGCACUUCAAGUUGGGAGGAGGGGAUGUAGGUUAAUACCCUGCAAUUUUGACGUCACCAACAGACUCAGCACCGGCUAACUUCGUGCGAGCAGCCGCGGUAAUACGAAGGGUGCAAGCGUUAAUCGGAAUUACUGGGCGUAAAGCGCGCGUAGGUGGUUCGUUAAGUUGGAAGUGAAAGCCCCGGGCUUAACCCGGGAAUUGCAUUCAAAACUGACGGGCUAGAGUACGGUAGAGGGUAGUGGAAUUUCCUGUGUAGCGGUGAAAUGCGUAGAUAUAGGGAGGAACACCAGUGGCGAAGGCGACCCCCUGGGCUAAUACUGACACUGAGGUGCGAAAGCGUGGGGAGCAAACAGG